rnacentral:tRNA from 1 species
CGGGGCGUAGCGCAGGUGGUAGCGCGUCGGCUUUGGGAGCCGAAGGUCGCGGGUUCAAGUCCCGCCGCCCCGA